ACCACAGGAUACUAACUUGAUAC
rnacentral:miRNA from 1 species